GACGAACCGUGCGAACGUUGUUCGGAAUCACUGGGCUUAAAGGGCGCGUAGGCGGCCGACCAAGUCCGGGGUGAAAGCCCCCAGCUCAACUGGGGAAGUGCCUUGGAUACUGGCCGGCUCGAAGGGAGGCAGGGGUGAUGGGAACUUCCGGGUGGAGCGGUGAAAUGCGUAGAGUAUGUGGAAGAACACCGGUGGCGAAGGCGGCAUUCUGGACCGAGUAUUGACGCUGAGGAGCGAAAGCCGGGAGCAAAGCGGG
rnacentral:rRNA from 1 species